rnacentral:rRNA from 1 species
AACGUAGGUGGCGGGCGUUAUCCGGAUUUACUGGGCGUAAAGGGUGUGCAGGCGGGCUGUUAAGUGGUGUAUGGAAUAUCCCGGCUCAACCGGGAAGGGUUAUGCCAGACUGGCAGUCUAGAGAGCGAGAGAGGGACGUGGAAUUCCGGGUGUAGUGGUGAAAUGCGUAGAGAUCCGGAGGAACCCCAGAGGCGAAGGCGGCGUCCUGGCUCGCAUCUGACGCUCAGACACGACAGCAUGGGGAGCGAACGGG